rnacentral:rRNA from 1 species
GACGAACGCUGGCGGCGUGCUUAACACAUGCAAGUCGAACGGAAAGGCCCUGCUUUUGUGGGGUGCUCGAGUGGCGAACGGGUGAGUGACACGUGAGUAACCUGCCCUUGACUUUGGGAUAACUUCAGGAAACUGGGGCUAAUACCGGAUAGGAGCUCCUGCUGCAUGGUGGGGGUUGGAAAGUUUCGGCGGUUGGGGAUGGACUCGCGGCUUAUCAGCUUGUUUGGGGGGUAGUGGCUUACCAAGGCUUUGACGGGUAGCCGGCCUGAGAGGGUGACCGGCCACAUUGGGACUGAGAUACGGCCCAGACUCCUACGGGAGGCAGCAGUGGGGAAUAUUGCACAAUGGGCGGAAGCCUGAUGCAGCAACGCCGCGUGCGGGAUGACGGCCUUCGGGUUGUAAACCGCUUUCGCCGGUGACGAAGCGUGAGUGACGGUAAUGGGUAAAGAAGCACCGGCUAACUACGUG